rnacentral:tRNA from 1 species
UCCCCGGUAGCUCAAUCGGUAGAGCGGCGGGCUGUUAACCCGACGGUUGGGAGUUCGAGUCUCCCCCGGGGAG